rnacentral:rRNA from 1 species
AUUGAACGCUGGCGGCAGGCCUAACACAUGCAAGUCGAGCGAGCGGCGGACGGGUGAGUAAUGUCUGGGGAUCUGCCUGCUAGAGGGGGAUAACUACUGGAACCGGUGGCUAAUACCGCAUAAUAUCGGAUGAACCCAUAUGGGCUUAGCUCGUUGUUGGGGUAAAGGUUCACCUAGGCGACGUUCCCUAGCUGGUCUGAGAGGAUGAUCAGCCACACGGGGACUGAGACACGGCCCAGACUCCUACGGGAGGCAGCAGUGGGGAAUAUUGCACAAUGGGCGCAAGCCUGAUGCAGCCAUGCCGCGUGUAUGAAGAAGGCCUGAGGGUUGUAAAGUACUUUCAGCGGGGAGGCGUUACCCGCAGAAGAAGCACCGGCUAACUCCGUGCCAGCCGCCGCGGUAAUUC